rnacentral:lncRNA from 1 species
UCAUCAUCAUCAUUAUCUUCUUCUGCUAAGUAGUAGUAUAUCACCACCACUUUACUAGUACUAGUAAAGGAUUAGAUAGAUAACCAUUUAUUGCAAAACUUACAUUUUCCAUUUAAGGCCAGGAAAUAUUUUUGACUGUUAUUGCUACUCUACUGAUCUGCUGCACACAACAGCCAAAGCUAUCAGUUUAGUUCUCUCUUGGUUUUGUUAAAACAAUAUUUAACUUGGAUUGAGGAAAGAAGCAGAUCUUUUAGGAAAAGAGACAAGUAUAUAUCUAAAGGUUCUGUAUACUUUUAGUAACUGUCAUUCAUAACAAUCAAAAAUUAGUUCUGAAAUUGCAUAAAAUAGAUAAUCGACCUUCACGCAUCCCCAGGUUCCCAAAAUAGAAUGGAACAUAGUGCUAGUAAGGAUGGCACAGUAAACUGCCAGAAAUCUCC